UGAGAUUAAAGGUGUUCACCAACACUGCCUG
rnacentral:piRNA from 1 species